rnacentral:rRNA from 1 species
GUGGGGAAUAUUGCGCAAUGGGGGCAACCCUGACGCAGCAACGCCGCGUGAUUGAUGAAGGUCUUCGGAUUGUAAAAAUCUUUAAUCAGGGACGAAGAAAAUGACGGUACCUGAAGAAUAAGCUCCGGCUAACUACGUGCCAGCAGCCGCGGUAAUACGUAGGGAGCAAGCGUUAUCCGGAUUUACUGGGUGUAAAGGGCGUGUAGGCGGGCUUGCAAGUUGGAAGUGAAAUCUCGGGGCUUAACCCCGAAACUGCUUUCAAAACUGCGAGUCUUGAGUGAUGGAGAGGCAGGCGGAAUUCCCAGUGUAGCGGUGAAAUGCGUAGAUAUUGGGAGGAACACCAGUGGCGAAGGCGGCCUGCUGGACAUUAACUGACGCUGAGGCGCGAAAGCGUGGGGAGCAAACAGGA